UACGUAGGGUGCGAGCGUUGUCCGGAAUUAUUGGGCGUAAAGAGCUCGUAGGCGGUUUGUUGCGUCGGCCGUGAAAACCUUGGGGCUUAACCCCGAGCCUGCGGUCGAUACGGGCAGACUUGAGUUCGGCAGGGGAGACUGGAAUUCUUGGUGUAGCGGUGAAAUGCGUAGAUAUCAAGAGGAACACCUGAGGUGAAGACGGGUUGCUGGGCUGACACUGACGCUGAGGCGCGAAAGCUAGGGGAGCAAACGGG
rnacentral:rRNA from 1 species